rnacentral:tRNA from 1 species
GCUCCCUUAACUCAACGGUAGAGUCCGGAGAGAUCCGGCAUGUGGUGGUUCGAUUCCACCAGGGAGCC